rnacentral:rRNA from 1 species
GACGAACGCUGGCGGCGUGCCUAACACAUGCAAGUCGAGCGGGGAUUUAAGUGGAAGUUCUUCGGAAUGGAGACUUAAAUUCUAGCGGCGGACGGGUGAGUAACGCGUGAACAAUCUGUCCCGGACAGGGGGAUAACACUUGGAAACAGGUGCUAAUACCGCAUAAGACCACGGCCUCGCAUGGGGCUGAGGUAAAAGGAGCAAUCCGGUUCGGGGUGAGUUCGCGUCCGAUUAGCUAGUUGGUGAGGUAACGGCCCACCAAGGCGACGAUCGGUAGCCGGCCUGAGAGGGUGAACGGCCACAUUGGAACUGAGAGACGGUCCAAACUCCUACGGGAGGCAGCAGUGGGGAAUAUUGGGCAAUGGGCGAAAGCCUGACCCAGCAACGCCGCGUGAGGGAAGAAGGUUUUCGGAUUGUAAACCUCUGUCCUAUGGGACGAAGGAAGUGACGGUACCAUAGGAGGAAGCCCCGGCUAACUACGUG